AGAUGUUAAAAGGAAGAGAAAUGGAGAGCAUCAUUCCUUUGAGAUUUUAUAACUCAAACCAACUUUGGAGUUGUCUGAUUUGGAGAGUCAUCAUUCUUGGUCUUCGCUCUUAGAGGCCACUGAUGAAGAACAGGCGGUGACUGGGAUGAAUCCUGGUCAGAGAGGAGAAUCUUCUUUCCCCUAAACUGAUGCAGCAGUGGUUUUAAAGGAGGACGCUGCCCUGGAUGAUGUAAAAGAUGUCAGAUGCUGUGCUGAUGGGGCUUCUUCAUG